UACGGAAGGCAGCAGUGGGGAAUAUUGCACAAUGGGCGAAAGCCUGAUGCAGCUAUGCCGCGUGUAUGAAGAAGGCCUUAGGGUUGUAAAGUACUUUCAUCGGGGAGGAAAAAACAAAACUAAUAAUUUUAUUUCUUGACGUUACCCGAAAAAGAAGCACCGGCUAACUCCGUGCCAGCAGCCGCGGUAAUACGGAGGGUGCUAGCGUUAAUCAGAAUUACUGGGCGUAAAGAGCACGUAGGUGGUUUUUUUAAGUCAGAUGUGAAAUCCCUGGGCUUAACCUAGGAACUGCAUUUUGAAACUGAAAUACUAGAGUAUCGUAGAGGGAGGUAGAAUUCUAGGUGUAGCGGUGAAAUGCGUAAAUAUCUGGAGGAAUCCUGUGGCGAAAGCGGCCUCCUAAACGAAUACUGACACUGAGGUGCGAAAGCGUGGGGAGCAAACAGGGAUUAGAUACC
rnacentral:rRNA from 1 species